rnacentral:rRNA from 1 species
GACGAACGCUGGCGGCAUGCCUAAUACAUGCAAGUCGAACCCUGAAGCACUCUGCUUGCAGAGUGCGGAUGAGUGGCGAACGGGUGAGUAACACGUGGGAAAUCUGCCUAUAAGAGGGGGAUAACAUUCGGAAACGGAUGCUAAUACCGCAUAUAUUCUUGGACCGCCUGGUCCUUGAAAGAAAGACGGCUUUGCUGUCGCUUAUAGAUGAUCCCGCGGCGUAUUAGUUAGUUGGUGGGGUAAAGGCCUACCAAGACAAUGAUACGUAGCCGACCUGAGAGGGUGAUCGGCCACACUGGGACUGAGACACGGCCCAGACUCCUACGGGAGGCGGCAGUAGGGAAUCUUCCACAAUGGGCGAAAGCCUGAUGGAGCAAUGCCGCGUGAAUGAAGAAGGUCUUCGGAUCGUAAAGUUCUGUUAUUAGAGAAGAACAAGUCAAGGAGUAACUGUCUUGACUUUGACGGUACCUAACCAGAAAGUCACGGCUAACUACGUG